GAUGAACGCUGGCGGCGUGCCUAAUACAUGCAAGUCGAACGAAGCUUUUUUAACUGGUGCUUGCACCGACUUAAACAACUGAGUGGCGAACGGGUGAGUAACACGUGGGUAACCUGCCCCAAAGCGGGGGAUAACAUUUGGAAACAGAUGCUAAUACCGCAUAACCACAGAAACCACAUGGUUUCUGUGUCAAAGAUGGUUUCGGCUAUCACUUUGGGAUGGACCCGCGGCGUAUUAGCUAGUUGGUAAGGUAAUGGCUUACCAAGGCGAUGGUACGUACCCGACCUGAGAGCUUGCUCCGCCACAGGGGGACUUAGCCACGGCCCAGAAUCCUACGGGAGGCAGCAGUAGGGCAUCUUCCACAUUGGAAGAAAGUCCGAUAGAGCAACGCCGCGUGAGUGAAGAAGGUUUUCGGGUCGUAAAACUCUGUUGUUAGGGAAGAACGUGUGCGAGAGUAACUGUUCGUGCAGUGACGAUACCUGGCCAGAACGCAACGGCUAACUACGUGCCAGCCGCCGCAGUAA
rnacentral:rRNA from 1 species